rnacentral:rRNA from 1 species
GGGGGAUUUGGUCAAUGGACGAGAGUCUGAACCAGCCAAGUAGCGUGCAGGAAGACGGCCCUAUGGGUUGUAAACUGCUUUUAUAAGGGAAUAAAGUGAGUCUCGUGAGACUUUUUGCAUGUACCUUAUGAAUAAGGACCGGCUAAUUCCGUGCCAGCAGCCGCGGUAAUACGGAAGGUCCGGGCGUUAUCCGGAUUUAUUGGGUUUAAAGGGAGCGUAGGCCGGAGAUUAAGCGUGUUGCGAAAUGUAGACGCUCAACGUCUGCACUGCAGCGCGAACUGGUUUCCUUGAGUACGCACAAAGUGGGCGGAAUUCGUGGUGUAGCGGUGAAAUGCUUAGAUAUCACGAAGAACUCCGAUUGCGAAGGCAGCUCACUGGAGCGCAACUGACGCUGAAGCUCGAAAGUGCGGGUAUCGAACAGGAUUAGAUACCCUGGUAGUCCGCACGGUAAACGAUGGAUGCCCGCUGUUGGUCUGAACAGGUCAGCGGCCAAGCGAAAGCAUUAAGCAUCCCACCUGGGGAGUACGCCGGCAACGGUGAAACUCAAAGGAAUUGACGGGGGCCCGCACAAGCGGAGGAACAUGUGGUUUAAUUCGAUGAUACGCGAGGAACCUUACCCGGGCUUGAAUUGCAGAGGAAGGAUUUGGAGACAAUGACGCCCUUCGGGGCCUCUGUGAAGGUGCUGCAUGGUUGUCGUCAGCUCGUGCCGUGAGGUGUCGGCUUAAGUGCCAUAACGAGCGCAACCCCUCUCCUUAGUUGCCAUCAGGUCAUGCUGGGCACUCUGGGGACACUGCCACCGUAAGGUGUGAGGAAGGUGGGGAUGACGUCAAAUCAGCACGGCCCUUACGUCCGGGGCUACACACGUGUUACAAUGGCAGGUACAGAGAGACGGUCCCUUGCAAAACGGAUCAAAUCCUUAAAGCCUGUCUCAGUUCGGACUGGGGUCUGCAACCCGACCCCACGAAGCUGGAUUCGCUAGUAAUCGCGCAUCAGCCAUGGCGCGGUGAAUACGUUCCCGGGCCUUGCACUCACCGCCCGU